rnacentral:lncRNA from 1 species
UUAUUGAGGAGAGAGAGAGUUGAGGUAAUUAAUUAAUUAGGUUUUGGUUUGUGCCAUGAUUUGAAGUGUAGUUGGGGGCAAGGCAUGUUGUAGAGAGAGAGAGAGAGAGAGAGAUAUAUAUGAACUGAAUACAUUAGAAUACAAUUGAAUUGGGCCAAAGCAGGGAGAGGGGGCACUUUUACUGGCUGGAUGCAUGCAUGCAUUGCAU